UACAGAGGUCUCAAGCGUUGUUCGGAUUCAUUGGGCGUAAAGGGGUGCGUAGGCGGCGCGGUAAGUCGGGUGUGAAAUCUUGGAGCUUAACUCCGAAACUGCAUUCGAUACUGCCGUGCUUGAGGACUGGAGAGGAGACUGGAAUUUACGGUGUAGCGGUGAAAUGCGUAGAUAUCGUAAGGAAGACCAGUGGCGAAGGCGGGUCGUCUGGGCCGAUACUGACGCUGAGGAGCGAAAGCGUGGGGAGCGAACAGG
rnacentral:rRNA from 1 species